AUUGAACGCUGGCGGCAGGCCUAACACAUGCAAGUCGAACGAGCGGCGGACGGGUGAGUAAUGUCUGGGAAACUGCCCGAUGGAGGGGGAUAACUACUGGAAACGGUAGCUAAUACCGCAUACCAUCGGAUGUGCCCAGAUGGGAUUAGCUAGUAGGUGGGGUAACGGCUCACCUAGGCGACGAUCCCUAGCUGGACUGAGAGGAUGACCAGCCACACUGGAACUGAGACACGGACCAGACUCCUACGUGAGGCAGCAGUGGGGAAUGUUGCACAAUGGGCGCAAGCCUGAUGCAGCCAUGCCGCGUGUAUGAAGAAGGCCUUCGGGUUGUAAAGUACUUGCAGCGAGGAGGCGUUACUCGCAGAAGAAGCACCGGCUAACUCCGUGCCAGCAGACGCGGUAAUAC
rnacentral:rRNA from 1 species